GUUGAAAUGGCUUAGUCGGUGGCGCUUUAGACUCAGGAUCUGAAGAUUCCUGGUUUGAUCCUGGUUUUCGGAACA